ensembl:ncRNA lncRNA:CR44077 long non-coding RNA:CR44077
UGCUCAAAAUCAACGCCCAAACCAAAAUACCACUUUAAUCGAGGCCAACUUCCCUCAGUUCGACCUUGUAGUGGCAAGCAAAAAAACCAAAAAUUACAAACACCAAACUUGAGAUUUGCUAACAUAUCGUGACUGUGACUGUGACCAAAUAACGCGACAGGAUCCUCGAAGGACUCCAGUCGAAGGUCAAUGUAUGGCCACAGUUUUGCGUUAGAUCCCAAAGUUUCAAGCAAUACUGCGUACGGUUAACCAGGAGAGGCCAAAAUAUGCCAUUUACUUUGGCCACAUAUCGUUCUACGGGCCAAGGACAUACCUCGGCCGGUCCAAGGACGUUUCUCGGGCAAACUGAAGGAAACACGAGAUACGAGGACCAGCAGCAGCAGCAGCAGCAGCAGCUGAGUUUGGCCUGCUUGCUGUCGUCGGGAUGUCAAUGUCAGCGGGUGCCGUUCGAGUCCUUUAUUCCGGCAUCCUUACUCGAGGCUCAUCAUCACGCAGGCAGGCGCAUCCUGCCGCGUGGAUACCCCCCUGGCUCUGGAUUCCCAUUCGCAUUCCCAUUCCUAUUCCCGAUUUCCAAUUCCGAUUCCUGGUGCCACCUCCGGUGCACCGCUGGUGCAAAUCGCCGGCAUUUAACACUAACCUUCCGAUCUCCGCUGCCGUCCAAGGAAUUUGCCAGCGGGCUAAGAGGACAAAAGCGGAACGGCAAGACGCUUUCCAAAAUCAAAACAGCACCUGAGUUUUGGGCUGGUCCUUUAGGCAAAAAACACCUUUGACUUGUGUCAAUUGUGAAAAUCCUAGCACUGCGACGAAUUCU